rnacentral:rRNA from 1 species
GACGAACGCUGGCGGCGUGCCUAAUACAUGCAAGUCGAACGCAUUUUCUUUCACCGUAGCUUGCUACACCGAACGAAAAUGAGUGGCGAACGGGUGAGUAACACGUCGGUAACCUGCCCAUCAGCGGGGGAUAACACCUGGCAACAGUAGCUAAUACCGCAUAAUUCCAUUUACCGCAUGGUAGCUGGGCGUACGGCGCUUUUGCGUCCCUGAUGGAUGUACCCGCGGUGCAUUAGCUAGUUGGGGGGGUAACGGGCUACCAAGGGUGUGAUGCAUAGGCGAGCUGGGAGGGUGGACGGCCAAACUGGGACUGGGACACGGCCCAGACCCCUUCGGGAGGCAGGAGUAGGGAAUCUUCGGAAAUAGAGGGAAGGCUGACCGAGCAACGCCGCGGGAGGGAAGGAGGUUUUCGGGUCGGAAAACUCUGUUUGUAGGGAAGAAAAAGGAUGAGGGUGGAAAGUUCAUGCCUUGACGGUAUCUAACCAGAAAGCCACGGCUAACUACGUG